UAUUGCACAAUGGGCGGAAGCCUGAUGCAGCGACGCCGCGUGAGUGAAGAAGUAUCUCGGUAUGUAAAGCUCUAUCAGCAGGGAAGAAAAUGACGGUACCUGACUAAGAAGCUCCGGCUAACUACGUUCCAGCAGCCGCGGUAAUACGUAGGGGGCAAGCGUUAUCCGGAUUUACUGGGUGUAAAGGGAGCGUAGACGGCGACGCAAGUCUGGAGUGAAAGCCCGGGGCCCAACCCCGGGACUGCCUUGGAAACUGUGCUGCUGGAGUGCAGGAGAGGUAAGUGGAAUUCCUAGUGUAGCGGUGAAAUGCGUAGAUAUUAGGAGGAACACCAGUGGCGAAGGCGGCUCUCUGGUCUGUAACUGACGCUGAGGUUCGAAAGCGUGGGUAGCAAACAG
rnacentral:rRNA from 1 species